ACAGCAGCAGCCACGGUAAUACAGAGGGUGCGAGCGUUAAUCGGAUUUACUGGGCGUAAAGCGUGCGUAGGCGGCUAAUUGAGUCGGAUGUGAAAUCCCCGAGCUUAACUUGGGAAUUGCAUUCGAUACUGGUUAGCUAGAGUGUGGGAGAGGAUGGUAGAAUUCCAGGUGUAGCGGUGAAAUGCGUAGAGAUCUGGAGGAAUACCGAUGGCGAAGGCAGCCAUCUGGCCUAACACUGACGCUGAGGUACGAAAGCAUGGGGAGCAAACAGGAUUAGAUACCCCAGUAGUCCCUGUCUCUUAUAC
rnacentral:rRNA from 1 species